rnacentral:rRNA from 2 species
CUGCAGAGAAGCUUGCUUCUCUGAUGUUAGCGGCGGACGGGUGAGUAACACGUGGGUAACCUACCUAUAAGACUGGGAUAACUCCGGGAAACCGGGGCUAAUACCGGAUAAUAUUUUGAACCGCAUGGUUCAAUAGUGAAAGACGGUUUCGGCUGUCACUUAUAGAUGGACCCGCGCCGUAUUAGCUAGUUGGUAAGGUAACGGCUUACCAAGGCGACGAUACGUAGCCGACCUGAGAGGGUGAUCGGCCACACUGGAACUGAGACACGGUCCAGACUCCUACGGGAGGCAGCAGUAGGGAAUCUUCCGG